GCCGCCAUGGCGGAAUUGGUAGACGCGACGGAUUUAAAAUCCGUUGAAUGGUAACAUUCGUGCCGGUUCGAUUCCGGCUGGCGGUA
rnacentral:tRNA from 1 species